AGUAACACGUGGGUAACCUGCCCAUAAGACUGGGAUAACUCCGGGAAACCGGGGCUAAUACCGGAUAACAUUUUGAACCGCAUGGUUCGAAAUUGAAAGGCGGCUUCGGCUGUCACUUAUGGAUGGACCCGCGUCGCAUUAGCUAGUUGGUGAGGUAACGGCUCACCAAGGCAACGAUGCGUAGCCGACCUGAGAGGGUGAUCGGCCACACUGGGACUGAGACACGGCCCAGACUCCUACGGGAGGCAGCAGUAGGGAAUCUUCCGCAAUGGACGAAAGUCUGACGGAGCAACGCCGCGUGAGUGAUGAAGGCUUUCGGGUCGUAAAACUCUGUUGUUAGGGAAGAACAAGUGCUAGUUGAAUAAGCUGGCACCUUGACGGUACCUAACCAGAAAGCCACGGCUAACUACGUGCCAGCAGCCGCGGUAAUACGUAGGUGGCAAGCGUUAUCCGGAAUUAUUGGGCGUAAAGCGCGCGCAGGUGGUUUCUUAAGUCUGAUGUGAAAGCCCACGGCUCAACCGUGGAGGGUCAUUGGAAACUGGGAGACUUGAGUGCAGAAGAGGAAAGUGGAAUUCCAUGUGUAGCGGUGAAAUG
rnacentral:rRNA from 1 species